ensembl:lncRNA
CUUCUCCUUGCACACUGGGACACGUGAGUCAGCCCAGCCAUUUGGCCACUUCCCAUCAGGGAACAUCACCAGCGCCCAGAGGACACACAAGGAUAUAUUUUUAAUUCCUGACUAUCACUCCGCCAGCAGUGCUUUCCUCGGCAGAUGGACAGGUGCCCACACCUUGGAGCUCGAUAUGACAUCCAUAAGGCUGCCAAUGCCAAUUCCACGUACCGUCCGCAGAUGCUCACAGCCUACCAGUGCACGCUCUGCUCCUGGGAGAGAAAACUGAUGUUUUCGAUACAACACAGCCUCUCCUCUGCAGGAUACAGCUCUUUGCAUAUAUCUGCUAACAACAUCUUGGUAUUUCUCCACCCCCUCCCACCGUUCCUCGUUUUUGUCGAACUCACCAGCAUUUGUUCUGGGAUCUAAUUAAGGUCCCUUAUCACCAUGGCAAGAGGGGGGCAAGGGCUAACAAAACAGCAUUAAUGAACUGAUUGUUUUCACUGGGCACAUACACUGUUAUAAUCCUUAAGAACAGUACAUAUCUACAUUUGGAAAAAAAUAAUCAGAUGAAGUCUGUGUUGUUUACAUUUUUACAAGAGCUUAACUAGAAGCCCAUGUAAAACUGGCAUAAUCCAACAGCAACCAAGAACUUAUUUUAAAGGGAGAUUUAUGCUGGUUAGGACAGACAACUUCAUCUUAUUUUCUCCUCCACACACAUGCAGAAGUCUUGUGCCUACCAUUUGACCCUCCUUCGAAGAGAUGAGCUUCCCAUAAACUUCAUUAGUUAGAUGCAGUUUUUAUAGAUAAUUCAGAACCUCUUCCCACCUUUCUGGGUUAUUAAAUCUAUUAGCAGCCCAGGAUAACAUUAUGUAAGUACUGUUCAUCGCCAUUAUGCAGUAGAAUUAGAAGAGAGCUGUUAGAACCAAGUUUGCCUUGUUUCCAUCUCAUCCUCUAUAUGAACUCAGACAUCGGAAGCAAAAUCACCUACAUGGGGCACUGCCUUUGAUAAUGGAGACAGAGACGAGAAGGAGGAGAGACCAGGAGGAGAACAAGUCCAUAAGGGAGGAUGAUACACCUAUUUCAGUCACAUACAGUUGCAUACCACCUACAGUCAACCCAGACCAACCCUUGGAAGGAUCCCCUCCAAGAAUUGUCUAGUUCAAGUGCUACAGAAACUGUUCCUCACAUCUCUGCUCCCUCUGAGUUUAGGUUCAACUGGCUCUCCAGAUGCCUUUUGAAGAAACUGCUAAAAUGGGUCAUUUAUUAUUAUUAUUAUUUACAGGAAAUCACUCCUGGCCAGCAGUAAUGCUCAGAAAGAUCUCUCUACCUUUUACUGGAACAGAAAGCUUCAGAAGAAUAGCAUGAACCUUUUAAUUAAGCAUGAUAGUUCCUCUGUGACAUAUAAAAGGAGAGAAAGUUCUGCUCACAAAACCUCAAAAACUGCCAUAUUUUUCAGCACUUAAGAAGAUGCAAUGUAAAACGUGCAGAGUUUGCUUUAUUCAAGAGCUGAACAGUUGGCUGGUCCAAAAGGCUUUAGCUGAAGCUGCACUGGAGCCACACAUCCUUGCAGAAGGGGCCUGCUGCCAGCAUGGUCGCAGUAACACUUUGCAUAUGAAACACAAACUUACUUACACUCACUGUGCAUAUGAAACACAAACUUACACUCACUGCUUCAAAGUACAGGUCCAGACCCAUCUUCUGUCCUGCCUGCUUGUCAAACACUGUCCUGCACAGUUCAGCCUGCCCUCUAGCCAGCCAAUCAUCUCCUGGUGGAAAUGGGCUCUUCUGCUGCACACUCAGCUGAGCAUUGAACACUGCAAAUAACGCUCGUCACGGCUUGUUUGUUCGCUCAUCCUCUCUGCAGGAGCAAAGCAUCUGCAAUGGCUGUGAUGGCUUUUAAUAAAUGCACGUUUGCUCUCAGUGUGGCACAAGACCACAAUGUAUGACCGAUACAAACAAAUGCAAUUCUACAUGUCAAUGCGUGUUCACAAGAGAAGCAGCCCUCGCACCACACCAGAGUUAGUUGGGUAGUUGUCUGCACAACCCAGGACUUUGCGACCCAGCAUGUGGCACUGCUGCCCUGGAGCCAACAGGACCAAAAGACCAACACGAGGUGACUGCUGAGCGCGUGAGAUGGGUGCAUGGCAACACACAAAGGGACCGUAACACCAGGGAUGGCCAUGAGAUUCAGAAGAAGGCAAUUCCACUCCAAACGCUGAUUUCAGAAUCAAGUUCUCCACAAACUGAAACCUACUUGGCAUUGACAAACACCACGCAAUUAUAACUUGGGCCUCCUGAUUUUAUCUAGCCAAUGAAAUUCAAAAUCCAGGAGCCCUGUGCUCACCGCCAAUACAUUCAGAAAACAACAUGCUGUAAUAUGAAUGCAAUAAACAGACCAGUGAUGAGCAUCGCUCGUCUCUGACAACUGACUGUGCUGAUGAAUAACACUUCAGACAGAUUAGAUCGCCCACUAACUACAACCACCAUCUUCCUAUGUCCAGAAGCCAUGUGCUUCUCCAAUUAAUUGCUCAAAACUAAUUGCCAGAUGUAAUUUUGAGCCAGCAGUGUCUUCGUGCCUUCCUCCUCCCUGAUCUAUUCCCUUCACAGGCAGCCCCGUGCCCAGUAGCCUUCCCCAUUCCUUGUGCUCAGGCAUGAUGUCCCAGACCUGACCUCCCCAUGCAGCUUUGGAGCAGAUCUCUUCCAGGCAGCUGACAUUUAAAUAACUUCUGUAUUGACUUUCCUCUGCAGCAUCUCGAGCCCUCCUUGUUUUCCUUGUGUCCAUAUUCCAAUUCAGCUCUGUGCAGCUAUGGCAGAGGAUAUUGGAACAGAGCCUGACUGGUAAUCAAUGAACACCUCCACGCUGCAGCUCCUCGGACACACAGCACAGGAGAUUCUGCUCUCUUUGUGCACACAUUCAAUGUUUUGGAUAAACUUAGAGAAGCAGGAGAAGGUUCUUCCCAAACCUGCAGCACGUUUCAGACACCGCUAAGCCUGUGAACUUUCCUUUAACUCGCAUUAAACCGAUACAACUUUUAAUUAAAAAAGUAAUUUUGAAAAAUUGCUUGUGCGGUGCAUAAGGUGAUGUUCAGACAGCAUCACUGAUCCCCAGAGUUCUGCAGCCUUGAGUUUAAUAAACUGAAUUUUCAAAAGUAAACACAGCUUGCAUCAGCACGAGCCUUCUGCUUUGGGCCCAGAUUCUUCAUCCGUGUUGCACUGGCCCUCAGAGCCAGACCCAACCCCACGUCCCCGCUGCACCUCUGGCCAAUGGAACAUGCUCUCUGGGUAGAAGCCAAUCCAAAUUACCCUCAGGUUUCCCUCUGUACAGCUUUGGUAACUGUUCACCUGUUCUGCUUGCAAGGGUUGUUAAAUAAGUCAUUUUACUUCUCUGCCAUGCCAGCAAGGCUCUGUUUCUCCCUGGGCUGGCUGGCUCCUUGACACAGCCCCAAGAGGUGGGCCAUGGAGCAGCAGCACUGUGCUGACCCCGAACACUGGGAGCUCGCUUAUUAAUUCA